UGGUGACGUCACCGCAAGCCCCGCCCCUUUUCCAUAGGAGGAGGAGGAGCCACGGAGGCCGAACGAGGAAGGAAGGAAGGAAGUCUGGCUUCGUGUUCGAAGGAGAACAUGAGGGUUCUAUGGAACCUCUGCCGUGAUGAGCAACAAAUCAGCGUCUAGUGGAUAUGGAGGAAUUUGGAAACCAAAGAGCAGUAAGGAAACCAGUCCUGUGGGAAAAACGAAUCCUCUCAAGGUGCUGAUCUCACUUUUCAUCAGAAAGGGAAAAACAAAAAUCAAGUGUCCAAAUUGCAAUUACAUGUACACAUUACAACACCGUCAAAAUGGAGGACAAAGAUUAUAAAUGUAUUGAAUGUGGAAAGGGCUUUAGUCAGCAUGGACAUCUGAAGACACAUCAAAGGACUCACACUGGAGAUAAACAUAAAUGUGUGGAAUGUGGACGGAGCUUCACUCAGAGUGCAAGUCUUCAUUUACAUCAAAGGACUCACACUGGCGAGAAACCCUAUAAAUGCCUGGAGUGUGGACAGAGCUUCUCUUUGAGUGCAAGUCUACGUUCACAUCAAAGGACUCACACUGGGGAGAAACCUUACACAUGCCUGGAGUGUGGACAGAGCUUCACUGAGAGUGGAAGUCUACGUAGACAUCAAAGGAUUCACACUGGGAAGAGACCCUAUAAAUGUCUGGAGUGUGGUAUGUGCUUCAGUCAUAAGGUAAAUUUAUAUUCACACCAAAGGAUUCACACUAGGGAGAAACCCUAUAAAUGUUUUGAGUGUGGACAAAGCUUCGCUCGGAGUGGAACUUUACGUAGACAUCAAAGGACUCACACUGGAGAGAAACCCUAUAAAUGCCUGGAGUGUGGACAGAGCUUCUCUUUGAGUGCAAGUCUACGUUCACAUCAAAGGACUCACACUGGGGAGAAACCUUACACAUGCCUGGAGUGUGGACAGAGCUUCUCACAUAAUGGUAGUCUACGCUCACAUCAAAGGACUCACACUGGGGAGAAACCCUAUAAGUGCCUGGAGUGUGGAAAAAGCUUCAUUCGGAAUGACUACCUACGUUCACAUCAAAGGAUUCACACUGAGCGGUCCGAGGGACCAUGAGCCAGCCACCUGCUUCCAAAGUCCAGGGACCUCUGUUCUAAGGCCUCCUGCAAUCUCAUCGGAGUCGUUAGCCUUUGAGGGCAGAACACUUUGAUAGGUCCUCCUGAAGUGAUCUCUGCCUGGCAAGGAAUUGAUCACCUCCACCCACAGACCUGUAUUUCCAAGCUGAAAACUGCAUCAAGUGUAUGGAGUCCUCGUGGAUGACAAGUUAAACAUGAGCCAACAAUGUCAUGCGGCAGCUUAAAAAGCCAAUGAGAAUUUGGACUGCGUACAUAGGAGUCUAGUGCCUAGAGCCAGGGAUGGAAGUCAUGCUCCCCGUUUCUUCUCUUCUGCCUUAGGCAGACCACUUCACCUGGAAUACUGAGUCCAAUUCUGGGCACCGCAAUUGAAGGGAGAUGGUGACUCUAUGCUGGAAUGUGUCCAGAGGAGGGCAACUAGAAUGAUCAAGGGUCUGGAGAACAAGCCCCAUGAGGAGCGGCUUAAAGAGCUGGGCAUGUUGAGCCUCCAGAAGAGAAGGCUGAGGGAGAGGAGACGUGAUGAGGGUCAUGGAUCAAGAUGUGAAUGAUGGGGAGUCAUAGGGAGGAGAGAGCAGGCUUCCUUUCUGCUGCCCUAGAAACUAGGACACAAUGAAGCAGUGGCUUCAAACUACAGGAAAGAAAGGAGAUUCCACCUGAGCAUGAGGAAGACCUUCCUGACUGUGUGUGUGUGAGCGAGAGAGCUGUUCAGCAGUGGAACUCCUUGCCUCGGAGUGUGGUGGAGGCUCCUUCUUUGGAGGCUUUUAAACAGAGCCUGAGUGGCCAGGUUUUCAGGGUGCUUUGAAUGCAAUUUUCCUGCUUCUUGGCAGAAUGGAGUUGGACUGGAUGAAUAGCCCACGAGGUCUCUUCUGACUCUAUGACCGGAGUGUGGACACCAUGUGGGAUAGGCCCAUGUGUGUCAUGGAUCCCAUGCCCCCCAAAGAUGCACCUGACAAACUGGCCUCCAGAGGUAGGUUGAGGUCGCCCAGAGGCAAAGGUCCGAGUGGGUCCAGCACCCGCUCCAAGACCAGCGCCUGAGCUCGACCAGGGAGUCUGAGACACCAGGUGGACAAGACUCAACAGAACCCCCAUAUUCUGUCAGAUUGUUUAUUUCAAGUCUUUAUCUAAUUUUAAUUAUUACCCAAGAAAUCUUUAAAAAUAAUUUAAUCUAUUUGUAUAUUACUAUAUAAGAAAUUUAAUAUUAUAUAGACAAAAAUUUACUAUGUAUCACUAUCACUAUUGCUCUUUCUCCCUCUUAUCACCACUCAAAGCUUAUACACUUCUAUGUAAACGUUUCUAGUCUAUUUAACUCAUCAGUUUAUCCAAAGACUCUUAAAUGUGGGAUAGAUAAGUCAUACAAAAUCUGUGGUUCUGUAUAAAACCUUCCAGAUUUAAUGAAAGGGUGCUAAUCCAUCUAUUUCCAAGGUUUCCAAAAUAUGGGGUAAUACAGUGUGUAUUUAUAGGCAAUCGUCGUAUCUUUGCAAAUUCCAUAUAAGGCUCCCACUUGAAGUUUCGUCGAAAACACUAUCUAUGGGCUUGUUCCUUUUGAAGUGUAUUGCUAGUACUUGCAUCCUAUUUGACCAGAUCAUAAUAAACUUCUGUAAUAAUAAA